AUUGAACGCUGGCGGAAUGCUUUACACAUGCAAGUCGAACGGCAGCGCGGGCUUCGGCCUGGCGGCGAGUGGCGAACGGGUGAGUAAUAUAUCGGAACGUACCCAAGAGUGGGGGAUAACGUAGCGAAAGUUACGCUAAUACCGCAUACGAUCUAAGGAUGAAAGCAGGGGACCGCAAGGCCUUGUGCUCCUGGAGCGGCCGAUAUCUGAUUAGCUAGUUGGUGGGUAAAGGCCUACCAAGGCAUCGAUCAGUAGCCGGUCUGAGAGGACGACCAGCCACACUGGGACUGAGACACGGCCCAGACUCCUACGGGAGGCAGCAGUGGGGAAUUUUGGACAAAUGGGGGGCAACCCUGAUCUAGCAAUGCCGCGUGAGUGAAGAAGGCCUCGG
rnacentral:rRNA from 1 species